rnacentral:snoRNA from 1 species
CUGGCACUUUAACAGGUCCUCCCCUAGGCAGUGGGGCAGGAUUUGGUAGCUGGUGCUGAGAGAAAACCCUUGAUUGGAUCCUUGCCCCUGGUACUGUACCAGAGGCAGCUGUCACUCAGUGGAACAGAG